rnacentral:rRNA from 1 species
UACGUAGGGUGCGAGCGUUAAUCGGAAUUACUGGGCGUAAAGUGUGCGCAGGUGGCUUCGCAAGUCGAGUGUGAAAUCCCCGGGCUUAACCUGGGAAUUGCGCUCGAAACUACGGAGCUGGAGUGUGGCAGAGGGAGGUGGAAUUCCACGUGUAGCGGUGAAAUGCGUAGAGAUGUGGAGGAACACCGGUGGCGAAGGCGGCAUCCUGGACCGACACUGACGCUGAGGAGCGAAAGCCAGGGGAGCAAACGGG